rnacentral:rRNA from 1 species
GAUGAACGCUGGCGGCGUGCCUAAUACAUGCAAGUCGAGCGAACAGACGAGGAGCUUGCUCCUCUGACGUUAGCGGCGGACGGGUGAGUAACACGUGGAUAACCUACCUAUAAGACUGGGAUAACUUCGGGAAACCGGAGCUAAUACCGGAUAACAUGUUGAACCGCAUGGUUCAACAGUGAAAGACGGUCUUGCUGUCACUUAUAGAUGGAUCCGCGCCGCAUUAGCUAGUUGGUAAGGUAACGGCUUACCAAGGCAACGAUGCGUAGCCGACCUGAGAGGGUGAUCGGCCACACUGGAACUGAGACACGGUCCAGACUCCUACGGGAGGCAGCAGUAGGGAAUCUUCCGCAAUGGGCGAAAGCCUGACGGAGCAACGCCGCGUGAGUGAUGAAGGUCUUCGGAUCGUUAAACUCUGUUAUUAGGGAAGAACAAAUGUGUAAGUAACUAUGCACGUCUUGACGGUACCUAAUCAGAAAGCCACGGCUAACUACGUG